UUGAAAUCGUUUACCAGUGGAAGGCGGUUGAUGCUGAUAAUUUUGUUUAUUUAACGCUUGUAUGGUGCUUCUGCUGAGCAUGUUGUGUGUUUUGUUGCAUUUUACAAUGCUGUGUGUUUUUUGCAAAUAAAUAUUACAUUGCUUGCUCUUGGCGGCACGCGUUACGAUCAGCACUGGAAGCAGAAAGUGUCCUAGGAAGCUUGUAAAGUAGUCAGCAACGAAGGAUCGUGCAGUAAAUACUGAAGCCAUGCGAGAUAUCCUGCAGUAAGCCUGCUCGUACGCAGCGGUGGAUCAGGAGGUCUCUGGUGAUAGCGCAGGAAUGGAGCUAAGAACAUGGUGGAGCAAAACGCUCAGAUUACACAUCAUGAAGUGUGACAUGCGAUGGGUCCCCAACUGAGACGAAAGACUUGAAUGACUUCGGAAUGGUUGGUCUAUAUACAUUCUACGCAUGCUUGCCGCGCAUGAACACAAUAUGAUUUCGGUAAACUUCUAUGCAAAGUUAGACGGCGAACUUUUAUUUUUAAGCCGGGAAUCAAUCGACAGUAAAGCAGAUGCUUUUCAUAUAAAAUGCCACUUUUAGCACUCCUACUAUGGUUUUGGUUCGGAGUGGUUCUAGGGUAGAUCAGCAGGAUGCCGUGUAUUACGAUUUUUAGGCUCUAUAGAGCAUGUUUCAUUGGACACAAAACAUGAAAUGCGUUUUUUUUAAAUAGGACCAUAGAUUGGAAAAUGGUUAAGCGUAAAAAAAUGCAACCCAAUUUUCCUUUAAAAAUGGCACAAAGCUGCUUCGAAUAGGAUAUACGGUGUGCCUGACGUCCCUUACACUACCUGGCUAAUUCUACCGAAGCUUUGUAGAGACAUUGUCACCCUGUUACAAAUAUUGAAUAUAAUCCAACUAGAAUCAUUCGAUAUCCAUCAA